UUUCGCCUAACAUCUUUAGGGUUCCCCUCUGGAUGGUUCCUUUGCCUUAAGAGCGAGCUGGACUUGAAACUGGAUACUUCUCUUCCACUGGAACUGCUCCUGCUGAAGAUCUUGAAACUUACACUUAUUAUCUGGCUUCUGCAGCUUACUCCACGAAAGCACUCUACGAAUACAGGUUCACUCAGGAAUUUACAUAACUUUGUUAUGACGGCAGCUAGGGUAUUUCCGCAAAGCCAGUACUUUAUGAUUGGAUUUUUCCGACCUAAACAAUAAAGUGAUUAUUUCGAUAAGUCAAACAGAGUAUAGAAACUUGUAAGGACUCAGACACUCUAAAGCCACCCAAAGACAAAGACGAAAUUCAUGAAGAACUGAAAGGAGAGGUCAGGCCAGAUGUUGUGCUAAGUUGAGUUGCGCUUAAGGGUCAGUGAGUUACUGUUGUGCUAACGAAACAGUACAGUACAGGAGCAAGAGAGAUUCUAUUAAUGUUUGCGAGAGGAGCUGACUUGUGCGUAAGGAGUUUCGAGCUUGAUUACAUUCCAAAUAUAUGUAUGGUCGGGUGAGAGAGAUUAUUGGAAUUCGAAUGGCUCUUACUUGGAAAGAAGCCCUCUUUUCUUCAGCAGUAAAGUCAGCAGCAAGCGCGGGAAGUAAAGGAAAGGAGAAGGAAAAGAAAGUAGGCAAGCAACAAUAGGUUCAGAAAGAAAGUAGAGUUCGGGUCCCCGGGUGUUGGAUCUUCAACUAUAUAAGUAUAUUCAGCUGUGAGAAAGUCUGCUGCAAGUGAUAAGGAAGCUGAAAGUGCGUUGUCUACAAGAAAGGUUAUUAGGCUCUAAGUCAGUAUAGAGAGGUUCGGCGGUAAGAGAAUCCGCAUCAGCUAUGCUUAAGUCUAAAAGAGAAAGAAGCGGGAGACAGAUCUUCCACUGACCCUGCUCUGGAUCUUUAAACGGAUCUUUCCACUAUCAAAACGGACCUUUCUGACCCGAUUGCAGCUGAAGAAGUAAUUGAGGCAUAAUUCCCUGACAUAUAGAAUGUCGGCACCACGAGUUGGUUUCAUCAUUUAGGGUAGGGGACUCCUUUGAACUAAAAGCUUCUUCCUACUUAAGCGUCUUAGCCUUCAGUGCCCAGGGAUCUACCGCGAAGGUUAGAUUCCAUUAAAAGGUAGGUAAUCGAGGCCUAGACCUAUUGCAGGUGAGCCAGCCCCUAUACCGUACAUCUAUAUCAGCACCCAUCGAAAAGAAAGAGGAAGCCGCAGUGGCACAAGUGGUAGGCUUAGAUCUGUCUUUGAAGAUGCUUAUUACCUUUUGAGUUAUGUAUCAUCGGAUUCCUACUUGGAAGAAAGAGUCUUGUAGCUGAUGAAAAACUGGAUCUUGCAGGGGGUGCGAACUCGUAGCUAACGUCGUUGGUUGUCUAAAUAUCUCCCCCCAAAAACUUAAUGAAAUGGAUUUUCGCCCUUAUACAUACUUGGAAUUCCUCAUUGACUUUCUUGCAUCUGUAACUGCUGUUGAAACACAUUUGAGCCCUGUUUACCCCUUGACUGUACACACCCUUGCGCCAAGACCUGAUCUUUCUACAAUAACUAGACUUCUUCAAGAAAACUCUUUUGAAACUAAUAAGGAUCUUUCUUGUGCUGAAGCAGAAGCGGAAGAGAACUCCGUUAGCGCAGAUCAGUUCGAAACUCCCUUAGCGCAACUAAACUAGUUCAAUUCAAAAGGGAAGGAAGCCGGUAAGAAUCUAUCUCCACCCUAUUAUAUACUAUACUAUAUUAUCUUAUUCUUCUUAUGUAUAUACUAGACUAUAUUAUCUUAUUCUUCUUAUGCCUUCCAUACGAGACUCCACUUGCUUCUUUAUAUUAUAUGGUUCGGUACUCAAUAAUUUGCUGUGCUUGUAAAGUACACUAUAUCUGAUCUUUUCUCAAGCCCACGUAGGGAGAAAGUGGAAAGAUAACCGUAUCACUUAUCCAUCGGUAAAGUUGAAGACGUAGAAAUCAUCCUGUAUAGUAUGGAAUAUGAGUGCGGAUGUCGAGAAAACAUAUAUUGUAAUAAUGGGCUGUCCCCUUGCCUAUCUAUAUCUCAUAAGAAUGCACCCACACCUAGAUCUCAUAAGAAUGCACCUAAACUAAACCUAGAAACUCCCUUAGCACAUAGGUUAUACUACAGUAGGAGUCUGCUUGGAAACCAGCAGCGUUGACUUUAUCAAUAAAGAAAGUGUGCAGUCCACUCUCCUCUUUAGUUCAAUACAAACUAGAUGGUUGAUCAAGAGCACUAGGUUAGUUAAGAGCACCACCACCCACUUCACUUGGCAAGAGGGCAGGGCAUGGAAACAGGCAAUGACUAGUGAGGCAAAGGCAAGUCGACAAGUGCUGUAGUUUUCAGUAGCCAGAGGACAGGUAGUAUAGUAGCAGAAGAGAAUAGAGCCUAAUUCGAUUCCACAUCAAAUGAGAGGAAGAAAAAAGUCCAGUAAAUUGAUACCGAAGCCAGAGAAGGAGAAGAGUAUUACUUAUAAGCAAGAGAAGGAUAAGAGUGAGUUUUGUUCGGAUAGCCUAGAUUUAGCUGUGACUCAUUGUUACUAAUGUGACUCAUUUAAGUGUUACUCAUUUCAUUGGAAUCGGGCACUAGCUUGGCAGUUGCCAGAGGUCUAGGAUAUCAUAGUAGCGGUAAGUCUAUUCGUUGCUUGUUUAGUGCUCCUGUCUGAGGGAAGUAUCAAGGAAGUCAGCUACUGUCACUACAUCUGCUUACUUGUCUAGUCGUGACUUGGCCCUAACUCAGGUGUCUGUAUUGAAUGAAACUCAUUGCUUUUGGGAGUCCUAAUUGAGUCUGUUUCAGGACUUAGCGCAUCAAAGGCAUCUAGAUAGCAGCCCUCUUCUUAACCCGGCCCGGCAUCAGAUCUUAUUCAAACUCUGGCUCUGGCUACUGAGUUUGGCUAAUGAACAUCUGUUUCAGGGCACCUCGCUCAUAUCUACCUCGCUUCCUCGCCUGCCUCCGCUCUUGAAACUAACCUAACUCUGGCAACAAAGAAAGAUUACACUCUCAAAGCAGCUUACUAAAUUGUCCCUUUCAAGCUUUGGCUAGUAGUUCCUCGUGAGUUGGUUUCCAGACCUUUACCUUAAACUAGUAGUUUCGUAGUUUCAUCUGUAUUAGUUAACUACCCGGGUAUUCACUAAAGAAUGAAGUGGGCUAUGGCCUUGCAGAAUCUCUUUUCGAAUGCUAAACUGCUGAUUCAACGUAUCAAAAGGCAAAGGCAAAACUUAAGUAUGGAGUGGGUGCUAGGGAUGGUCGAGUUGACCGAGUGUAUGAGUUGGACCGACCUGGCAGUAAGUGAUAGAAUUAGAGAUAGAAGGAUAAAGAUGAAAGAGGGUUACAGAUAUUAGGCUCAAAAUGCAUUCUAAGGGUCGUUUCCGAGUUUAGAUAAGUAAUUAGCUAUUCUCAAAGUGUCCCCUGGCUUAAACUGCGCAAAAGUCGACUACUUUCUUUGUUGACCGGGCAGUCAGAAGUGUACGAGUGGAAUCAGUUAUCUUUAAUCCUACAUAAAGAGAAGAUAUCCUUUUUUCAUCGGGAAGAUCAACUGCUGAAGUCAAGUAUCCGAACAAGCAAGAGAAUAAUUCAUUUAUUAGAGAAAUAGUGGGAAAGCCCUUACCUUAUUGGAAAACGAAAAGAUGCUAGAUGCAGAAAUAGACUCGUACAUCUCUUGCCCAUGUUACGGCUGUUCAGUUGCUGACCUUCUCUCUCUUGCCCACGCCACGUCCUUUUUCUUAGGUGUUUAAGCAAGAUUAUAGGAUUAGAAGAAUAAUCAACUAAUUCCAUUCUUAAAGCUGGAUCAGAGUAGGCUAAAGCGGAUGUUGGAUCGGGUUCAGAAGCUUGCUUAAUAAGGGAAGGAUCAGAUCCAAAGUGAGAAUUCAAGUAAGUCGGAGGGGCUUACUAAUAACUUAGGGCUUACUCAUAACCGCCGGACUUAUUCAACACUCUAAAACACUGGAGUAUAGACUGGGCCUAUUGACUACCCAGGACAGUACAGGUGCCCUUACUUACUAAGCGAGUCGACCCCAGAAGUUUGAGUGAAGUAUCCUUUCUUUAGGGGCUUAUCUAACUGGAAAUCAAUCUACAGGAUCAGAAGAAAGAGGUGGUGCGGUGUUAGAAUCAGAGGCUUAAGUUAGCAGUGCGGGUUGGUUACUUUUCUUUCUAGCAUACAGAGCGGGGGGCGAGUUAAGUAGUAGAGCUAAGUUCUUUGCUUUCAGAUAACUAGUCAUUCUCAGAGUUGCGGUAACUAUAGGCCCUAUCACUAUCAAAUGAAUUAUUCUCUUUAUAAAGGAGAAAAUGAGAUCUAUUGAGAAGGUGGUCUGGUCCUGUGAGUUGGAUGAGCCGAACUCCCCUUCCUAUUAUUCUUGGUCAAGUUACCGUUCUCCAGGUAUGCCUGCUUGGCCCCUACGAUUGGGUUUGGUGACUUCCAUUGCCCACCGAUACUGUUACUACUGAGUUGGAUUCUUUUACUACCAAUCUGUUACUACUGAGUGGGAAUUCCUUUACUUACUCCUCCGAUCGGGGACACAACCCAUUCUUUAACUACCGAGUGCAAUUCUGGAAUCCCUACUUAUGGACUACUUAGUGAAAUUCUGUAACUCCUACUUCCACUCAAGCUUGCUUCCUUGCCUGUUUAACGACUUGUACUAGACGAACUCUUGAACUCCUUUUACUAUACCUAUGGCUACUAUAUAAAUCUACCUUUCCUCUGGCUCUUGCAACUCUCACUACACUUUCUUAACCACUCCUUUGACUUUAGACCCGGGCAAGUAGACAAAUAAAAGAAGAAAACUGCUCCCCGGAAGCGCUAAACUCCAUUCUUAAAGGAAAGAAAGAGAACUACAUAAUGAAUGAAUUGGUUGCCAUUACCAAGUCCACCAAGCGUAUACUAGUAGGGAUUCCUCAAUUCUAUUUACAGAAUAGACUUAACGAGCACUUAAACAAGUAGUAGAGUAGUUUCAUCAGUAAAUCCAAUACUAUAGCUACUAAGAAAAGAAAGAAACAGCUAUGAUUUGAAACCCUUGCUGGCAACAGUGAACUUCCAGCUGUGACUCAUUUGACUUAUCGGGAUAUUUGAAUCGGUCACUAGCUUGGUCUAACUACGUGUCUUGUCUGCUUGGCUCAUCUGUGUUUCUCAAUUGUAAAAGAGUUAAGUAAACUCUAUUCUCUACCUUCUCUGACAACUAGACCCCUAUUGUCUGGCUAGGCUCAUUCUGCUGUUUCGGGACAUCUCGUCUCAAAGCCUUACUUCCCUUUCCUCACUUUUCAUCUAAAAACUAGGUUUUAUUACUGAACACAUGCGAUGGGUUAUACUACUUUAGUUGCUUGACCCGGUCUUAAACUAAUACUAAGGCAGCUAGUCGAGGAAAUGAUGGAUCUAUAGGCCAGUGAAUUCUUUAAUGCCAAACACCUUUUAUAGCUUCUGUAGUGAGUGACCUGGUAUCAGAAUGAGGCUCCCGAGCACAUAGAGUUCAAAAGGUUUAUUUAUUAUAUAUUAUAAGUACCGGAGCUGCUGUUAGUAACGAGUCAAGUUUGAUAGUACUGGCUGGCCCGGUUAAGGGAGGAUUCUCUUACUUGCAUUGCAAGGGAGUUUCACAAAUAAAUAAGAUGAGAAAUACCAGUGCUAGAUUCUUUCCCAGAUAUGGCUUCUGCAAAAGCAAGAGAAGCACUCCGUUUCAAGAACGGGAUCAUAAGCCUUAGAAUUGCCAGUUCCAGUAAGAUAAUAUGCUGGAUCAGUUGAAAACAUCAGAAUUUGCCUAAGUAGUAGAACUCGAGAAGCCAGUAACUCACCAAAACACAGGUGCUUAUGCUUCCUUACCAGCAUCUAAUCCCUCGCUGACUGCUUUCAUUGCAAUUGAUUCACACUCAAAACCUUAAUCACUUCCUAUCAUCUUAACCCUAGACUCUAUGAAAGAAUUCUGACCCUAUUGCCUUUUUCCUAGAAUAAUUGAUGUUGGCACCUAGCUUGAAACUGCUUGAGCAACUACAGUAAGGUUAGAGUAAAGUAAGCAAAUCAUAAGAGGAAGAAUGGAAUUAAUGCAACUAUACUAAUAAUGGAAUGAAUUACUAAUAAUGGAAUGAAUGCUACUACUAUAUACUUUCAAGAGGGAGGCUGCGGGUGGCAAGAAAGAGCUCGGGGGUUGGGCAAGGGCAGAUAGAGUUGGGGGCGAGUAACGUCUAGGUUCCGCAACAAGUCCUGUCUUUCUGGCUAAAGUGAGCUUACCUACAAACUCAAUACCCGGCCCGGCUAAGCAUGCCUUUAAGUAGAAGAGUAACUGGAGCUACACUCAUUCAUAUACUAACUUGUCUUAUUCAAAUACUUAUUACUUUUACUAAUAAUACAAAUACCGGUCUUCUACUCUGAUAUUACGACUAAUACUAAUAUAAGGGGAAUCCGCGGAUGCAACUCGACCGAGAAGAAGCGAAAGAGAACUAAUACUGAGUCACUCACUCGCAUUCAAAGAAAUAGAUGGAAUACAUAGAAUACUAAGAAUAGGGGCCAAGCAACAGUCAGAAUGAAACCAGUAAGGGCAAGAAUGAAAGUAUUUCUUUGCCAACAACACCCUACUUUAUCACUGCCCCUGCUCUUGUUCUUGUUGACGAACAUCAGUACUUCCUGCUUCUGCUCGAACUCAACUUUAUGAACUGACACAGAGCUUAAAUAAGGGCUGGCAAUUCUGCUGAUGAUACUGAUGAAAAUAAGGAUUCUGCGCCUUCUUUUCUUCUGCUUUAGUGUACUAGCCCGCUUGCUGCUUACUUGAGUGAGAGCAGCUUCCCCUUCCUUUGAACUAGCUUCUGCCCCUAUUGAACUAAAGAAGAGAGUUGCGGAAGAAAGAUCUUAUCUCUUUGGGCCCUACUUAUACUACCAACCAUGAUUCUUUUUCUGACCUUGGAACAGGUGCCAGAGGUAUGGUUGCCAUAGGGGCUGUUGAAUCCGUUCUCCUAUAGGCGGUAGUUGUUGGCGACUCUCUAAUUUCAUUCUGACUUGACUAUCCUCGUGCUAGUGAUCCUUCUCGCCUACCUAGUGCUCUAAGGUUACCAACCACCCCUGUGCUCUCUAUGAUAUCAGUUAUUAUGAUAUUUGAUUCCUUUAGCCCGAGGAGAUACCCGCGAGAGUUGCUUGGUCGACACAAGUGUCUUGGCUGUGAUUUAUUGGAUUUUGAUUCAUCCCAUUGGAUUCUUAAGUACACUCACUACUCCUCAGUCAACUAAUUCCAUUCUUCUCUUCCGUACUAAUUCCAUUCUUAAGUAAGUGACUUGGCGGUAUUGAAUGAAGCUCUAAACUCUCCACUCUCCACUCCUAUUUCACUCCUAACUCAGGUAUUUCAUUUCACUCCUACCUCAGGAGCCGGGUGCUCGCAGGUAGGGUUACAGAAUUGCACUGAUAGGUGAGCUAGUAGUUAAGUGAGAAUGCCACCGGUACUAACUGAGUAGCUACAGUAACAGUAUAAGAUUACAACUACUAACAUCAAGACUUAAUAGCUAACCAGUACUAACAACCAGUGCUAACCAGUACUAACAACAAGACUGAAACAAGUGGUAUCAAUACUUAAUCCCUAGUGGAUAGUUUCAGAAUUGACCUCAGUAGUAACAGUAUCGGUGUGCUUAGUAUAAGGCUUUGAAGCUGGGGAAGUGAGACUGAAACACUAACUCAAUGCCUGAAGCCUUUGUAAACAGGAUCACUAGGUACUAAGUUCAUUCUUUGCCAGUAGUUAAGAGUCGCUAGUGGAAUACCGAGUGUAUUCGUUGCGAGUGUCUUUAGAAACAUAAUCCUAUGAUCGACCUGGUAGUAGUAGCACUGGUAGUAGUAGCACUGGUAGUAGAUCCCUUAUUCUUAUUAGUAACAGUAUCGGUCGGGAAGCUGUUAGGAGUAGUCUUGAGCUCCUGCCGCUGUAGUAGUUGAUUGGCCCAGUUCUGCUCUAGUUGCAUCCUAUUUAGAAGCUGUGCCAGGAAUGGAGUAUUGAUUGGAUCCUUCUUUCUUAUAGAAUCUGCUCUCCUUUUUUCAUAAGAGAAUAUAUUCUUUAGUAAGUUGUCUUCUACUGUGUCGGUAGAGAAGCCGAGUAUUGAGCUCCUGUCGCGCAACAAGAGAAAUAAGGUGAACUCUGGACUUGACUUGACUUUAAUCUGAUAUGAUACCGCUUCUUUUGAUCCACUUUCCACUGACUUCUGAAGUGGAGCUACUGGCUAUUAAGUUAGUUAAGCAUGAAUCCAGCUAUAUGGACAGUUGAAUCCUAAGUGAAGACCUGUCUUAUUUAUCCAUUUGCUAUAAGCCAAGGAACGUAGUUAGUGUAGCGCCCUUAUUGUAAGUUGCUGUUUUACGGGUUUGAUGAAAUCGGUAACCAUCUAUCGGUAACUAUCUAUCUUACGAAUCUUUCGACUUAAUAUAAGGGCAACUAAAACAACCAUCCUAUGGCUCUGCGAACUCUUUCUCUUCUACCUAUGUAAACUGUCAACAAAUCUAUACUUAACUUACUAGAAGGCCUCUUGCAACUGGUAACAUCUCUUUGAAACUUCCCGCAGACCUCUUACUUGCGCCUGCUCCUUCAUACGAUGAAACCAGAACUUUUCACUAUACUUGCUUACUUAGAGCUAGAGCACCAACACUCCCAGACUUUAGAUCUUUAGGUUGAUACCUUCUUUCUUAUAUGAUACUAGAGUGAAGAGUUACUUGCCCCAGAGUGAAGAGUUGACUUGCCCCUGCUAGACAAAGAGACAGGCGACUCGAAAACACGUUAACUCAGGACUUGGUCAAGAACAGGAGCAGCCAAGAAGGGAAUGAAUUAUACACUACGCUCCUAAGCAACUAGGCAAUCUGCCCUGCCCUUUCACUGUAAACUCUCCCUUGAGCCAGUAAGUCGGUUCCUUAGAACUGGAACUGAGUUGGUAAUAAAGGAAGGAACCAUCAAGAAGGGAACAAUCAAUAUUGUUAGGAAUAAAUGAACUAGAACAACACUUGUCCUCUGCUUCAGCCCUAGAUAGAGAAAAUUCCUUAUCUUACGCAUCUAGUUCCUACUCCCCAGAGUCUGUUUCUUAUCUGUAAACUGCUUAUUGCUGCUCUCUCCGUUUAUGGACAGGUAGCGGAGGCUAUGGAAACUUCAAUACAGUUAGCGGAGGCAGGCUUUAGAAUGGGGUAAUGGUACAGCCAGGAUUGAAAUACCGGAUUCUAAUGAUAUAAUAAGAUUCAAGUAAACGAGGAGCCCCGAGCAGCAUCUCGAAGCGGGUUGCCUUCUGGAAAGUAUUCCUGCGCGUGGUGAUUCCGGCUUUAUCAAACUAUCAGAUGACCUCAAGAUCAAAGUGGUUGUUUUCUCUGUAGUUUUGGUGUGUCUCUGUGUUGUGCCCUUCCUAACGAGACCCUGGUUGACAUCCUAUCAAUCCCCGUGAAAAGAACUCGGGGUGUUAUAGAUGUGGGUGCUGCGCCUUAGGGGGUGCCUCGUGUUAUAGAUGUGGGUGCUGCGCCUGAGGUGGUUGACUUACUUAGUGGUCUGGUCUAGUUUACUUACUUGCUUGUUAGGUUCUCUUUGGAAUGAUAUUACUAGGAUAAAGUGCUUGUGUUAAGCAAAGAAGAAAUAGAGAAAGAGGAAAUCAAGAGGAGUUAAUUACUUAGGAGUGAAAGAGGAAAGAGAGAGUUUACUUAUUAGGAGUUACAGAGGAAAGAGAUAGUUGACUUAUUAUAAAGAGAGAGUUGCCAGCAGCUUGUUGAGAUGCGCCAGAAGUAUAGUAGCAAGAGAAGAGGAGAAAGAGUUCAAAGAACCAACCAGAGCAAUGGGUCAGAGGUGUGGGCAAGGGGCAGAGUCAAUUACUUGCUUUGAAGCUGACACUGUUUCUAUUCAUUAUGUAUUCCUCUCUUAUCAUAAUCGUAAUAGUCGCACCUAAAGGAAAGGAGCAUCCGUUUUUCGAGUUGGGCAAUCAAGCCUUGAGGAAAGCUAAGUGAGAUUUGAUUCGAGUUGAGAUAAAUAAGGGCGUAAGCCUUACUGUAAGGACAGGCUAAUAGAAAGGGAAGGUAGCUUUGAAGCCAGUAGCGGCAGGCCUAUCUAGUUAGUCAUUGGAGAAUAAGAUAUAGCAAUAGGGGACUCAAAGCAAAGGGGUAAAGACCUCUAUGGCGGAAAGUAAGGCCGAGGUACAGUAGAACAAGGUUAUAGAUCAGUAGUUAGGGAAUUGAAGUGAGUAAGGGCAGCUUUGGGAUCAGUAACUACAGACUGAAGUGCAAGAGAAGCAGACUAGUGGGCAUGUAAGGUAAUACCAGUAGUGUUGCUAAAGAACGAGAAGUACCAGUUUCAGUUUGAAACCAAGCUAGUGCAGCUUUAGGUGUAGUAAAGCAAAGCGGAGGUUUGGCGAACUCAUUCUUGUCGUAUAAGCAUGAAGUCUUUGAUUAACAUCUAAUAAGUAACCUUGCACAUGCAUAGAAGAGCCGGGCAACGUUGGACUACUCGCACUACUACUACUCGUAUUAGCAAAAAUCCACACUAUUACAAUUAUUACUUGACAGCUCAGUACUUAGCCCGGGUAUCCUGACCUUACAGCUCGAUUCCUUAUUUCUACCUUUAUUCUUAGAAAGUUAUACACAAAAACCUGUCUUUUAACCAGCUCUCCUCCAUUCUGUUACUGCUGGGUCGAGUUCUUUAUUUCCUCUUUCCCGCCUUAUCGCUAACUACUAUUAGUAUCGGCCCUAAAUCCGACUACUUCAAUUAGAACUAGAGAACGGAUACUACCCUCGGGCAACCAUACCUCUAUUUGACUAUGAACUGGAAUUGCUAGUUAGUGGGAUAAGUCUUGUCCGCACCUGUACAAGGAGAAAAGUCAAGAUAGUCAACCUGUUUGUCAGUAGUAGCUCAGUUCUACUAAGCAGUGGUAUCGGCCUCGGAAGCAUUAGUCCUAGAGUGCAAAUCCUUAGUAUUGGUCUUGUUAGCACGAGUGGAAAUCCCAGUUUCUUAAAGAGUGAAAGUCGAGGUAGCGAGAAUGAGAUCGAGGAAUAACAGACCGAGAGUAAGGGUAGUUCGAAUAGGAGUUAGGGGAGGAAGAAGAAAAGGUAAAAUACAGAGGUCAAGCAGACAAGACGACAAGACGGCAAGUGAUGUUUAGUUCGCCAAUAGUUCCAGUUUAGUAUAGAAACGCGGGUAAUCUGAAUAACUUAGCUACCGAUGCUUGAGAGUCUCCGAGAUCAGAAGCUUAGCAAGGAAAGGACUCGAAAAGGCCUGAAUGUCCCGCUCUAGCAAAUAGGUUGGAUUCUUGUGUUGUUGCUCUAGCUCUAAGUCGUGGAGAGAUAAGUGCUUCUUAUGCUUGUUCUGUAGAACUUGACUUUCGAACUGCUUCCUCACCGGAUAUAGCUUCAGAUCUAUCUAAAGUAAUUUGUAUGGGGUUCAUCCGCCUUUAAAUGUAUAUCUUAUUAAUAACAAGGAUAACAGAUCCAACUCCAUCUGCUUACUUUGGCACUGCUUCCAAUUAGGUUUGACUCAUUAGAUAGGGAUUCCAUUGAUUAACUGAAAGGAUAGGUUGGGUGUCCAAACACAGGUUCACUCUGGACUUGGCCUCUAUUAAUUACUAUAAGAACAAGAUCAUCGGCCGGGAGUUCUGGUAUUGGCUUAGAAGCGGGAGGGAAAGACAGAGCUAUCAAAAAAGCCGGGUACUCGAUAAGAAAGAAGCCUUAGAAAGUAUUAUUCCAGCUCUUGUUAAGUAUCCGACAAGUAACUACUAUACAAGCAAAUACUUCGAGUCGAGAUCAAUAGGAGAUUCCCGUAGCCGUUAAGCGAGUAUCAUCUAGAAUCGGGAUCAUCAGCAAGAGAUAGAUUCCAUUAUGUAUGAACUUACACAGAAGAAAGAAAGAGUUUGGGUAUGAACUUACACAGAAGAAAGAAAGAGGUCGGGUCGGGAAGCUGUUUAAUCAGUAGCUGAGGCUUCCAAUCUAGUAAUGGAACGGCGUAGUAACAGUAUCGGUCGGGGCAGACUAUCUUACAGGCUUUGAGGCUCGGGUAUGCUGGUUUCAUGAAGUGAGUGACUAGGCUCGGGAAGCUAUUAGUUUCUUUCUAAAGAAAAGAGAGAGGCAAGGCCGGGAGUGAAAGAGUUAAUAAAGAAAAUAGGAUUGAAGUCUGCUGCCCCAGGUCCAGUGAGAAAGUCUGGUUAUGAGAGGUCGGGUCGGCUUGGUAAGCUAUUCCAGUAUGGUUAUUGCCCCUUUUAGUAGUUGUCCUGUUCUGGUGAUUGUUUCAUUCCUUUAUUGACUAGUUUGAUUCUUUGGUCAGCGGAGCCAGCCCAGUUUCAUCAGUAUUUGUUUGUAGCGGAGAGAGAGGCUCGGGAAGCAGUUAAGGAGAUAGGCAAGGAGGAUAGAGUUUGGGGCGAGUAAUGUCUAGGCUAGUAUAGUAUCAAUCAGUCCCAGUGUUGUCUAUGGGAGAAGGGGUGAGGUUGAGGAAUACUAUAGUAAUGAGUUAACCCUAUUUGUUGAGGAAUACUAUAGUAAUGAGUUAACCCUAUUUAGUAUAUGCUUGGUAGCCUAGCUUCUUUAUUGGCUCAAGAACGGAAAGAGACUCCAUUGCCAACAAAGACAGACCGACCCAGUGGAAUCUUCCUGGGCUAUCCGAACAAGACUCAGAACCGAACCAGUGCAUCUCUAAGCCUGAAAGCAGUGCAAGCAAUCCUUCCACUAGUGCAUCUCAGCCUGUAGCAAGUAGGCCUGUUCCUGUGUUCGGGUGCUGGGGCAGGAUACACUUACUACUGACAAGGUUUAUAUCGCUACUAACAAGAAAGAAGUCUCCUAUUAGAUCAAACGAAAUAACUAACUCCUCCCAUACUGACUUGGUUUCUGCAGCUACUGAUCCAUAUCUUUGCUCUACUGCCUACUAGUCUACCUCCCCUUACUUGUAUUCCCUAUUGAAUCUGUUAGCCUGCUCUGCCUUACGCUAAUUCUACAGCAAUUGAUCUGGAACCCUGCUCCACUAGCGGAAAUUCUAUGACUACUGACUCGGAUCCUGUCACCAAUACCGAUAAGAACCAACCUCCAAAGUCGGGGAAAUAGGAAAGAAACUACUAGUGUCGGGAAUUGAGCAAGUGCACAAACACAAAUGUCAGAAUAAAGACACAGAAUCCAUUUUGGAUUUGUUAUUGCCGCUUCUGCCUUUGACGAUAACUCGGAACUACACCUUUCUCUACUAUAUACCGGGUCGAACUACUGCCUACAUGGAUGGAACCAAUAACGAUAAGACUUGAACUCAACACUAGGGGAUCCGACUACCGCUUCUCGGCAUUAAGCUUAUAAUCCUGAAGUGAACAGGUGCUUCUCAUAUUUAUACUUGGCACAGGGAAUCCAAACACAGAUAAAAGGAAUGCCCCUACGACUAACAAAGUCACAAGGUUCGAACUCAUACUAAAAAGAAUCCAACAAGAACACGGGAACUCAGCUACUACGAUGAGACCUUAACUCACAGCUAGGAAUCGGGCUAGUAAAGGUAAAACGGACACCCGAAACUGGGAAUACGAACACCAGUAACAGGAAUUGGCUAAUACCUAAUCAGACCACAGGCCAAGGAAGCACUAACUAGGAGCCCGCUCUUCUUUGCUUUGAUUUCAUCUGACUUUACAACCUACGAGCUUGUCUUUACCUAACUUUCUUAUGUAUUGAUAGCUAGUGGCCCGCCUAUCCUUUAGUUAAGUAUGCUUUUCCGGGUUGGGGUUCAUAGGCACCAAUGUUCAAUUCUAUACGACUCUUGUGCAUGGGAUCAUUCUUCUUUUUAUAUAACUUAAUUGGUGUUGUUCGAGAUCUACUUCACAGGUGGGGCAGAUAAAUACCCUUACGAGCUCACUGCCUCAGUCAGCUAGCACAGGGCACAGGCCAAAAUAGAGAUGAGAUGGCAACUCUACCUGGACACUUUUUCCUCUGUAUUCUGGUAGAAAAUAGCCUGUUUCUAUGAUUGAUAUACCAAUAGGAUAUACUAAUUAGAAUAGAGGGCCCCCGACUAUAUAUAUAUGUUGACUAUGUAUUUGUUUCUGCACUGAGAAAUGGGUUUGGUAAAGAAGUCGUGCAAUGUCAGUAAGUCCGGUUUCGAUCUGAUCUCGUUUUCCUAUCUGUUAGUUUCAUCCUGUCUAUACGUUUAGUUAAGUACUGACUUAUCUCAUUCUUGGACUACAAGCUUUGGUUCUUUAGUGACUCGGCAGCCUGUUUGUCAGUAGCUCUAGUCCUGUUAGCGGUGUUUUCAUUCUCUUCUUCUUUAUGCUUUCUCUUAUUACCUACGUGGGAAUGGGAGACUCGUAGGCAGGCGGAUCAGAUUUCACCAAGGGGAUAGUUGGCCUGUUUGCCAUUAGUCGCGUUCUGCUAUUGGUAUAGUGGUAGUUGGCUUCUCCCCGUACUGUACUUAGUUCAAUCAUUCUAUUCAUGUACUAAAUUCGAUUACUGUUGAGUUUGAUUCCAACAACGCUUACUUUCCUUCUAGCGAUAAGGCUUUAAAGAAACUACUAUACUAUAAGAACUCAACAAGGGUCGAUGUAAUUGAGCUGAUACUUGUAAGACUUAAGCGGAAUCAUAGGAUACUAAGGAUAGUAAUGAGAAUGGACACUUUUAAGGCUAAGUGGCCUGGAUAAGGAAAGGAUGAAGAGUCACCCCACUUAACAAGAAUAGGCAUAAGGAAGGCAAGGCUCCACAACUCAAUACAUUUGAAUGAAACAAAGAAGUAGGAUUCGCACUAAGAAGUAGGAGCUCAACUCAUAAGUAUAGAAGAAUGCAAAUGUAAACAAGGAAUACAGAAACAAAGAAUACAGAAGGAAACAACAAGACAGAAGGAGACAACAAGUAGGAAUUGCGAGUAUUUGUUUGAAACUCAGAAGGUAGUAGUUAGUAUAAUAAGUAUGAGUAUAAGUAGUUAGUAUAACAAGUAUAAGUAGAAGUAUAUCAGUAGUGAGUAUUAGCAUCAGUAGUCAGUAUCAGAAUCAAACAGGACCAACAAGACUACCACCAACAAUGCGAGUACAACUCAUCAAUUGAAGAAUUCGAAAAAAGCGGCGCAAACACCAGAAUGAAAAGCACCCUAAGGAAUGAACCCAGAAACUUGGAAUUAAACCACCGAUCUCACAUCUCGCAACAAAGUGUAGUCUCUUCCUUUCCUAUAGUGAAUUUAAGCCUUGCUUUUUGGUCAGUUAAUUCAUUAUAAGAGGAUCAAGUAUUAAAGGGUAGUAGGCUUUCAGCGCCUUAUUCGUAGUUGGAUCCUUACCUUACUAGUGAAAGUGUUCGUAAGCACUAGUUCCGAGCUAAGGUAUUAUUGUUAGUAGGCGCAGGCUAUUAGGCACAUAAGUCAGAAUCACAGAGGGGAAAUUCAGGCUUGGCUACUGGAUUUAGCUAUAGGUAUAAUAGAAGGAAGCGGGUAAGUCACCUGUGCUCUUCACCAACCCAGUGACCCUUGAAACUAUAGUAUACGCUUGUGAGUUUGUAGUAGUUGCUUGGCCCUAUUGGCUCUCUUUGAAUAAGAGUAUAGAGAGUCAUAAUUACAGAAAGAAGUAAGAAGCAGUGCGAGUAGUGAUGGAAUUCCAGUUUGCAGUUAAAGCAUGCAAGUCAAAGGAUUCUAAGCCCUCUAGUGGGUCAAGUGAGAAUUGCAGACAGGAAUGGCAGGCUAUAAGUAGUCGCAAGGUGGUUCGGUGAGCUAACUUCUUCUGUAGGGGUGUAAGUAAUCGGAUUUGGUAUAGAAGUCACAAGUCUAAUAACUAGUAUAGUAAGCAUGAUAACCAAGGAAAGAAGGAAGGUUCGAGUUCACGCAGUUAAAGAAUACAGGUCAGUAGGUAAAGUUUGAAAGCCAUUUCCAAAAGCAAGGCCCGAGGGCUGUUGUACAAGAGUCAAAGAUGUGCGAGGUGGACUACUCAUGGGCAGUAAAGUGAAAGGACGAGACAAGCCCUCCUGCUGCAGACUCAAGGCAAAGAGCAGUAGAAUGCAAGUUCAGGUCAUACUUCUUUCUACACGGGGAGUAACGGGCUAAGAAACAGUAAUGCCAGUUUGUUACCGGGCUAACUCUCCUCCGUUGGUGCGCUUACUCAUACUUACUUCUACAACUAGUUUGAUGCAGCUACUAAUACCACUGAGUUAACUACUUUUGCUUUUCUGAGUUUCGUCUCCUCUUCUUGUUCUUGUAGUCAGUAGCACCAGUCUUAUCUGCAGUAGCGGAAUUCCCCUAUUUGUACACACAGGUUCGAUCCUUGUUGUCAGUGUUUGGCUUACCGGUUUCUUGUAUCAAUCUAAUAAAUAGUAGCUCCAUUCUGAUGCUCACUACUGUUAUCCUGCACUCGCAGGCUUCAUGAUGGAAAGUACUAGUUAUAGACUAAAAGCAAGGAAGGUAAGUACCACUGAGUUGGAUCCUUUCCCUUAGUAAUUGAUUUCUUUCUAUUAAGUAUUAAGACCGGUUCAGUAACUACAAUCCGAAUCAGUAGCGGGAGUUCUGAUAGCAUAGCCUUGGGAUCAGUAGCUCUUUUCUUUCCCUAUGCGAAGACAGUCGCAGCCUUAUUAGCAGCAAUGAAAGCCUCGGCAACUACACUAGUUUUCUGGAAUAUUGUAUGGAUUCUUUGACUUAUGGCAGUGAUUCUUCCUUUCCAGUUAGUAUAUUGUAUUGGUAGUCAAACCCGUGUGUUACGCGCUAAGUAACUACUAGACGCCAAGGAACGGAUAGACAAGCAACGGGUAAGAGGAGAGUUAUACCGAAUUCAGUUAGCAGAGAUGAGCAAUAAUAGUAUUUGUUGACUUCAUUGACCUGGGCCACAAGAAAGACACCCUCCGCUUUUUGGUACUUUAUUGCUUAACGGGGACCUAGCUUUAUACCAAUGGUACCGAUCUUGUGACAUAGUUUUUGGCACUGAAGCAUAGUUUUUGGCACUGUAGCUAGUGUUUCUAUACCUAGGAACCGAUCUUUCGACACAGGUUUUUGGCACUCUGAUAAAGCCCUUGUUAACUCUUAACCCCCUUCCCUUCCUGUUAGCGCAGAGGAAAACAAAGAAUUCACCCAGUAGGCAAAGAAUCAAACUCCUAACAGCUAUACAGAGAGAUGGACAGAGUCAAGAACAGUACUGGCACCGAGAAAACCCUACUUAUGCUUAAACACAAGCAUUCGAACCCGGACAGCUAUUGAUUUGACUCCUUAGCAACUAUAGCAACUAGGCAUAACUCAUUUGACUCCUUAGCAACUAUAGCAACUAGGCAUAACUCAGUAGCAAUUAGUAUAUGACUCCGAUCUUCUACUAGGAGCUAGGAGCUACAGCACCUAUUUUUGAUGCAGAUAUAUAAGUGGCACAGGAACUGGUUCUUCUCUGGCUCUCUUUCUAGACAAAAAGCACUCUAAGGUCAUUUCCUGAGGCAACAUAGGUCAUUUCCCAUAAAACGAAAUCACCAAGUAACUAGGCAAGGAACUACUAAUCUAUAUAAAGAGAAAGAGCAAAGGAUUUACAAGUCUUAAUGGGAGAAGUAGUGUUGACUGACAAAAAGACAUCAGCGAAGCAUACUUUCCUGCGCCGUUCACUUGAAAGGGACCCCGCUGACCGGUGUUUCCUGUUGGUACUGGUUUAAGCCACCAAGGCACUCGGGCCAAGGGCAAAGCAACGGCGCAAGCCGCUGCGCGGCAGCAACAGAAUAGAUAUGUUAUAGCCAGUUAUUAACAAGUCCUGUGUUCGCGUUCCGCGGCAGUUGUUUGGCAAUAAGAAACAACAAAUAAAUAUACUAUAUGUUGUUAUUACUCCAGAUGUGUUCGGUGACGCGGUAGCGAGUUAGAGACUCACUGGUUGGAUUCUUAGUUGCAUUCUGUAACCCUACCCUAGCUGCUUGGCCUGUAACUCCUUCCUUUUAGUGCAAUUCUGAUCUUAGUACUGGCUAGACUAUAUAUACCUCGGAGAAUAGAUACCCUUACUACUGGAUACCCUUACUACUAGCCUACUUCAACUCAAGCCUGCUCGUACUUAAUUAUUACUUUAUAGGUGACUUCUGCCUUUCAAACAUCAACUCUUCAACAGCAUUCAAACUCUUCAACUGCAUUCUGAGAUUAUUACUUGCUUCACUCGACUCUGGCUAAUGAGUCAGUUUCUUCCGAUCUAGUACUUGAUUCUACCCGGGUCUAUGCGGAUUCUUUAACUCCGACUUUCCUACCUCUACUGUUACUACUUAGGUCAAUUCUGAGUCCCCGAACGCAGGACUUGGCCAUACUAAAUGAAUUCUGAUCUUAUUAAGGAAAACAGAUUCCACUAGGGAUGAAACUGGAAGUCAAACAUCCGACCCCUUAACUAGACACAUGGCCAGGACCCAUACGCGGCACCCACACCUAUUUCCUCAGGCGAGGCACCCCUAGUCGACUAGGCACCCCUACUUUACUAGACGCAAAUAGUUGACUUUUGAACUUCAUCUGAUCUUGUUCUUGUGUGAGUGGAAUACCGAUCCAGUUCUUGUCUAGUCGUGACUUGCCUCGUUGCUUGGCCCUUCCCACGCAUACCUUCUCUAGCUCCGAGUUCGGGGACAAGCUCCUAAAUUUCCUGCUCCUAUUGAUUUUAUACCUUAGUACUUAUAGCUUCCAUUGAUAUGACCAUAAAUAUAGUAUGAGAGUACUAGAGCAAGAGCCACCCUUCGUCCGGAGUUGCUUGGUGACCCUUCAACUAGUAUACGAGUAGUUAGGUAUCCUGGUUUACCCGCCAAGUCACUUGUUAUGCGGCAGGAGCGGGGCCUUCCUAGAUGGGAAGGAAUGUUUUGAACUGCUCCCCGGUUUAUCAUCUUUGUUUCUCAAUUGUAAAAGAGUUAAGGCAACUGCUCUUCUCCGGUCUGAAACUCAAGGGUCUUACUACUAAGAAGAAUAAGGGAUACUGAGUUGGCGUGAGAGGGUCUGCUUGCUUGUUUGUCAAACCCUUCUUUCAAGUCCUUUGUUCGCCUAACAAGAAUUCCUCUCCUGCCGUAGGUUCUACCACUUAUUAACUCUUAUUCGAACCCCCCGGUCCGGUGUUAUGGGCAUAUGAUACUCCCUCUCCAGCCUCUUAUUCUUUGCUUGGUGUUACUUACUUAUUUAGUUUACUUAGGUUAAUUACUUAUAUCUUAUAUUGAUAAUUGGAUAUAGCGCCCCUAUGUAGUUAGAAGAAAACAAAGGGAUAACAAGAAGGCAAACAAGAGUAGAGCUGCUGAUAACAAGGCUGAACCUACUACUUGACAAGGAUCGGAGUGUAUGGGAAAGAGUCGGGGAUAUGGGCACUUACUCUAAUACUUUAACUCAGAGCGGGGAACUCCACUAGUGUACUAACGACUUCAACUCAAAACAAAGGUGCUGAAAGCCUACCACUUUAGAUCUAGAACACGGGGAAUCCAACCACUGCUUAACAAAACAGGAACCAGUGCUAGCGGGAACUCAACUAGGGGCUUUCAAAUCAAGGGAAGCGGUAAAAGAAAUGAACUAGCAACAACAAGGAUCGAACUACUAGAAUACAAAUACAAAGAGCAGAACUCACCCAGCAACUACGAGCUAUGAGCCUGACAUCCCCACACCACAACUAUGACAAUGCCGUAGCUACAUUCUCGAGCUACUUACUUGGAUUCUAUAGUUGUAACUUCAAUGUCUAUGUUCCAGUGUCCACUCUUUUAUCUAAGCCCUACGCCCUGGGCACACCUAAUCCGUAUUUGACCUUUAUAUAUAUCAGUCCGCCUUCCCCAGCGACCAUUCAGACUAUACUAUAUCUCUCAUUCUAACAAUUAUGCCUUUGACUCUCUAACACUGGACUACAGAUCUGACUUUCUCUUCUUCGAUUCUAGGACUACAGAUCCAGAUCAUAUAGUGAUAUUGCCUAUGAGCCUACUCUCCUUUAGUGAAGUCUGAUAUGAUCCCUACACUAAUAAGAAAGGAGCUAGUGCCUAUAAUAAUCAAUACAAGAAUCAGUAUAUGUAUUAGAAGUAUCCAAUCUGAACUAGUGCUAGCAAGACUGGAGCUAUGAACAGGGGAUUCCACUGGUACUGUUAAGAGUGCCCGCCAAGCGACUACUAAACAAGAUCGUACCUAGUCAUACAUGCAAAUACGGAGCUUUCGAGCGCAUAAGCAUAAUCCUUUCCACUAGACGACUUUCUACCUUUGCUUUAUAAGAGCUGAUCCUAAAACUAGGAGCUGAUCUGGAAACUAGAACUUUACUUUCCAUUGAAGCUUCCUUUCUUUCGCCAACAACUGGAUCGGAUACUUAUUCACUUCUUGCAACACCUGGUGAGGGUGCGAGUUCCUUUGCUUUAAUAGCUGUUAUAACUCCUGACGCUCGACGAAAGCAGAAACAUAAACUCCACUUGCAUUUCCUAACUCUCCAAGAACAGAACUACAAAGAGCAUAGGCGGGACUAGAAGUGGAACAAGGCUAAGGGUCACUCGCUACCCAUCUUUUUGGUUACCCCUUUUCUCUUUCUAUCUAAUGUAAGUGAAACAAUAACUUCGAUUCUACUUUGACCUUAUGAAACUAUCCUUUACUAACUACUUGCACCCUCCACUCCACUACUCUUUUUUCUUUAUGAGGCGGAUCUUCCCACCAUCUCUUUCUGAGCCCGAAAUAAAGGACUUGCUCCGGGCCUUGUACUAAUGCUUGACUCCCCCAAACAGGAAUUGAUAAGUCAAAAGAGAACAAAGAAUUCCAUUCGAAAAUAAAGUGUAGCUCCAGUAUAAAGUAAGUUGCUAAGAAGGUAUGUAUAGUUAACCUGUACCGUUGACCCUUACGCGAACUCGCUAAGCUGGCAUGAACUCGCUAAGGCUUAGUGAUUAAACGAAGCAAUGCUCUUCUGGUUUGACUUAAUUAUGGAGUAGGGGGCAUCUAGAGAAAAUGAAAUAAGAGCAAGCACAGGAAUCAAAAGCAUAAUUAUGGUAGGUCGCUUGGGUGCCUACAGAAGAAUUAUGGUAGGUCGCUUGGGUGCCGAUAUUCAAUGGGUUAAGGAAAGCAUAGAACAACAGGACAAAAGCAGUGUUUUGUUACUUAAUGACAUUGUUUUGUUAUUUUCUUACAUUAGUUGGUUGUGCACAUCAUAUUCUAUCUAUUAUACCUGGCUCAAGGCCGUGCCUUUAAAGUCACUGAGUUAGUGCGUGCGUUAGGCUUAUUGUGUUUGGGUGCAAUAGGGGUUUCGCACCUUACCUUCUGGAUUCCAUUCCUUAGUUUAUGGUACAGGGGUGCUAACGUGUUAGGUGAGUUUUCUUACUUUCCUUAAUUCUGGGUGCCCUUCUCAUACAUAUGUACUAGUUAAUUCGCGCUAUAUUGGUUAGUGUUAGUUAGUUAGUUUCCGUGAGGGUUGCCUCCCUUCUCCUCUUAAAGGUUUCGAGUCUCGCAGCUAAGUUCGUUUUUAAGGAAGCAGUCAUCGGGGAAGUUCAUCUAUUCAUAGAAUCUUUCAGUAAUAUCAUUUUCUUAUGUGCACUCAUAUGAUAUGAUUUUAUGACUUUAUGGAACACUUGAACACUCGCCUUCUAACGCACUUGUUUCUUGCUAAAUAAGCUAAUGCUUAAGUCAGGGCUUUCUUUCAUGCUCAAGAAGUCUAAAGUAUAAAGUCACUACGAAAGUAGCAAGUCCUUUUUAUUGUGUCAGAAAGUAGCAAGUCCUUUUUAUUGUGUCCAUGCAGAGAAGUUUCCUUUUUUUGAUCCAUUAUUACCACAGAAGGAAGAAGUGUCGCUUCGAUAAACAUUGGUAUUGACUGAUAUAUCUCGGACCACGAAGACCCCAGUCGUGCGUGCUUCUGGUUUCCAUUUAUCCAUUCAAUAUUACUAUAGAGAAGGCAACUACUCGUGCCAAUCAAAAGAUAGUAAACAAAUAGCGCAUAUGCAUUGAGAUUGGAAUUAUUGAGUCAAAUGAUGCCUUGCCAAUCGGCGAAAGAAAGAUAGCAAGCACGGUCGGGUUCCUAUGCUCCAAAUGAGUUUGUGAGUUUAGCAUCUAUUCUGCUUCUGGAACUUGCUAAAUAAGCUGUAUAGGGUCUUUCACUCGCUUAAUAAGCUUAAUAGGGUUCUUUUUCCUAGCUGAGUUCAACAAGUAAUAAGUCAGUUUAGAUUGAUGUUACCUAAUUCUGGAAUCAGUGACCCAUAUUCCAUUCAAUUCACGGGAAUAAGUAAAGUUUACUGAAGGAAAUCCUUAUUGCCUGUUGAGUUGAGUUCGCCACUUAUGGUUAAUGCUCGCUGGCUGGCAGGGUUAAGGUAAGAAGAGAGUACUGUACUGGCCGGGUAGAAUCCCAAGUCUGGUUUCGGGUGCUGAAAGCCUCCUAACUACCAACCUACCAGCAAAUAGACGACUCUAGCUAUCCAACCAUAGAUAGACGACUCUUGCUAGAAAACGAUAUAUAGUAUGAAAGAAAAGCUAGUAACAACUUCUAAAAGAAAGGAAGGCGUCAGGCUCGCUCUAUAAUGAAUAAGUGGGAACGAGCGUAAUACCAGUAGCGAGAGGUUUAGAGGAAGGCGUCAGGCUCGACUGUGGAACUCGUCUUAAUGUGUUUAUUCCUUAACUCCUAAAUACAAACUAUGAGGUAAGAUCUAUUAACUAAUAGAAAGUUACAAGUCACAGAAAGAAGGAAGACUGAGAUAGAAUAAACCUAGAGAUCCGCUCAGAACUACUAGCUUAUGAGAUCCCAGCAAACAAAGUAAGGCCUGCCCCAUCACAAAGAAGGCAGAACUAGGAACUAUGGAUUAGGGAUUUGAUCAACUAGCAACUCAUUCACUCAAGAAAAACAAGCAAGAGAAAUAGCAGAUUCAAGCAAAAGACAGAAGAAAUCACCCUACAGAUAAACAAAACACGCAAGAUUGAACUCCACUCAAAACCUAAAAGAAAACAGCAUUAGAAAAAGCCCACUCAAAGAAAGAAAUAAAACAGAGCGAACAAGACACACCGGAAAGAUAGAAUCGAGUCAAAGCUUUUCCACCGGAAGACAAAGGCGACAGACAGACUUACUGAUCCAAAGGGAUCGAGAGCAAAGAAAGAAAAGCUGACUGAAAGACAUUUGACUGAGAACUAAUUGGAAAGAGUACCUUCUAGCAUAUUGACUUUCUUGGAGAAUCUUAUGAAGCAGGGGCCCGUCGUACUUCCCUGGGCGACGAAGCUGCGAUAGGUGUGCGAAAUGAGUGAGACUUGGGAUGGUAGCCCCUUAAAUAGGAAAGAAAGCCGGGAUAAGCUUAACCUCACACUAGCAAACAACAGCAUAGCAUUGAAAACGAUGAUAUGGCUUACAUACAAAGUUCCCCCAAUCUACUUCUCUUCUUAUGGUUUUGCUAUGAGUUACAGCUGCUCAAUAUUCGUUAAUGUGGACUGCGGAAGUAAAGUAGUCAACUCUUCCUUCUUUGUUAUGAAUAGAAUCUCUUUCGAAGCGCAUUUCUUAAUAGAAUCCGCAUUGAUCUGUCCUUUCUUUCAUACUCGCUGGCCUUGGUCGACCUUACCUUCCGUAUUUCCAGAGAGUUAACAAAAGGCUUAUCCCCAAUGAGGAAAGGCAUCCAGUGGGCCGAGUCAGACAAGUAAAGUCAACAUCUGGCUUGAGAAUUCCAAUAGUGCAGUAUAUAUAAGCGCAAUUUCAAUGAAAUUCCAGUAAUAUAAAUAUGGAAUAAUAAAAACACGUAUUACUCUCAACAAGCAAGGGCGCACUAAAAUAGUACAUAUUCUAUGGGCCGUGGGCACCUCAACAAUAUAAUGAAAGAAGCACCAAACUCUCCUAAUCCAAUUCCGUAGCCCCGCUUGUUUAGUUGCUUGUUGAACCCUCAUUGCCUUAACCGACACUGAGCUUCAAGUCUUAUAUUAUUCCUAUUAACCCAGCUUUCUUUCCUGCUUACAAUAGCCUUCGUUUUUGGCUUAUGGUGGCUUAUUCUCUCAGUAAGUAGCAUUUCUUUCAACGUUACAAACAACAGUUCCGACGUUUCUAUCUAUGCUCAACCACUCGCACCCAGAUGAAUGUAAGCACCCGCUCAAACAAGCAAGAAGCAAGAGCCAUAAUUCCACUAAGUCAACUAAGUACUAUUGAGUCUCGCGUUCGGAUGCCCAUAUUAUUCUAUAUUGAAGUAAGCAAUGCAGUGAGUUUACGUUCUUCUCCGUUUAUGAGGUGCAUAUUCUUUAUAGAGAGCUAGCAGUAAUCCGUUUGAUUAAUCAAUUAUAUUAGAGUAGCAUUGAGUAAGCAUUCCAUUCUUUUCUUCAAUUCCACAAGUGCUAGGCCCCGGUAAGAAAGCAAUGCCAUGCUGUUUACUUUAUUCUAUCAUAUGCUCUAUCAAAUGCAAGAUAUAUAUGAUUGAUUUCAUUCCUGGCGAACUCUUAAGCGUUGCGGAUGAGCAACCCUUCAUAUAAAGGUCGAAAAGCCCGGGCUAUUUGAGUCUGUUUUUUUGCUAUUCUUUUGACUUGACUAUUCUGACAGGUGGCACUUCUGAACUUUGAAAUCGUUGACCGAGUAGAUAAUAGAAAGCCUAUAUGCGGUUAACUAUACAAAUCAUAGGCAUUUCUUUUGAGAUAGCUUUGAACCGGUGUCUUUUUAAGAACGCUUCGAAAGGGACUGUCCUUGGAGCACGGAUUCGUCCUCGCAUCCCUUAAUGUUACUCUUCAUCUAAUCUCCUCUUUCCCAUUUCGACCUCGAGACGGCUUGAAAAGCCUAAGCUGCUGCGUUGCUAGUUGAACACAGACUUCAGCUUUGAAUAAGCAUUCCUUUGAACGCAAUGAUAAGAUCUAGGGUAGAAAGUGGCUCCACAGUAGCUCAAAGAAAGUCUCGUCCCGACCUGGGGUUGGCUUGAGAAAGAGAGUAUCGCCGGUUGUUAACAAAGCAGCAUGCAAGGAAGCUAAGAUUCACCGGCUUGGUGGGAAUAAGGAAUAUGCAUUUUGGGGUGGGUCCACCAAACUAGCUUAUCUUCGAGUGCCCCUGCUACGAAAGAAUUGGAAGGCUCAAUUCCAAGGUUAGGUUUUGAACCACGAGUACCAGUAUCCGUCCCUGCUUGCUGUCGCAGGUGAUGAUGUAGUGGUAGGGUUAGUGAAUUCCAUUUCCUUCCAACCUGUCAGUGUGAAAUCAAGCUUCAGAGUCAAACGAAAUCUCUGUCAUAUGAAUCUUAUCUUAUGCUUGCCCGAGCGAGGGGAUAGUCACUUCUUAGUACUUGUGGUAGGACCGCCUCUAAUUAUACACGCUUCUUUUUACCUGUCUGCAGGUCGUAAACGCUAUAAAUGCAUUGAGUUUUCUCCUUGCCAUAUACUGUAUUCUUCUCUAGGUUUGAUUGUCUCUCUCUUUUACAUGAUAUAUUUGGAACCGGACUUAGACUUCUAGCCCGAAGAAAACGAACUCCAUUCAUUAAUGAAAGCAAGGUUACGAAGUAAGGCAGGAAAGCUGGUUAAGCAAUGUGAGAUAUAUGUCUGCCAACAAUUGUGCACUCUGAACAGGGCCUAACAUAGGGCUAGGCCGGACUCUUCCUGUGGAGCCACCGUUGCAGUAUCAAUUAGCUGUCCCUACUCUUCUCUUCCCAACCACCGAAUUUCCUGAUUUCACUGUUCACGGAGUUACCGGAAUGAUGGGAGUGCGCUUCGCUUAUUCCAUCUUUUUAUUGACUAGGAGGUAAGGGAGAUCCAUCGACUCAUGUACUAGAGAGGAAAGGUCAAAUCAGGGACGGGUUGUUCCACAGAGGGAACCUUUUCUAUUGGGUGUACCACUGAUCUCGUUCUAUAUUAUAUAGUUGAACCUCCUCGCGAGCCUAGAAAGAAUCAAGUGCAUUUUCCAGAGAUACGCUUAGAGCACUGAAAGCUAUUUACAUCAAAUCCUAAGUAACAUGCUCCGACUUGCCUAAGCCUUGGGAGUUCUACUUUUCUUAGUCAAAGGAGGGUUUAGAAGAGUGGGGCAAGGGUCACUAAUACAACUACAACGAGGGAAUCUGGGGUUGGCAAAAGAAAGGAAAGGGUCACUAUAGCGCUAUCACCAGCUCCAAGGCUUACAACUACAAGAGUGGAUUGAGCACGCUUACUAUAACUAUUCUACUACAAGAGUGGAUUGAGCACGCUUACUAUAACUAUUCUAUCCCCACCUUAUAUUCUAUAAUUCUUUACAAGAUCCCCCUUGGGACUUUAACCAAAUAGAACUUACUUAUUCCUACUCAUACAGACAGCGCCGGAGAAUUCUUUCAAAGAGCUCUAGCAUUAAAACAAGGGUCUUAUAUACUUGCUCCAGAACCAGAGAAUGAAAUAGAAUAUCCCCUUCACUGGUUCUCCUACAACACGAGGAUAGCUGGUAGGGUGAAAGGAAAGGGUACGGAAUAACCUUACUAGCUCUAGAUGGAAAAACACUAGAGCACCAGAACGAGGGUUUAAGGGUUCGUCAUCACUUAGCUUACUUGCAGGCAGGGUACAAAACACAAGAUGGAUACAAAGUCGGCUUACUGGGUACGAGGCUUACUCUAUUUAUCCCAGGGUCGAAUGAAGGAGGUUUCUCCGCCCAACAUAGAGGGAUGAACUCAAGGAAAUAAGUAUUCCAUCCUACAGAGCCAAUAUAAGAAGGGGAAGCGCUCUCUUGGUCAACCGCGGAUUGUGGACAACUAGGACAUCUAAAGCACUGAUAGCAAGCAUUCCUCCAGAGUUCUCUCCUCUAAGAAAUUGAUUCAAAGAGUUAGAUCCGCCUGCAAGCAGGUUUCUUUGCAGAUGUCGAUUUCCUGAUGUCCGGGAACCCAGCAUAAUGGGAGUCCUAAUAUCUCAAGUAGAUCGGAUCGCCGUUAUGUGAUCAUUUAGUCUCAGGUACCCGGAAUAUACCUCAUGACUUUGAAGGCUGCUUUCCACUGCUCCAUGCCUGGAUGACUUUGGUAUCUACCUAGUAAACCCACAGCAUAAACAAUGUGCGGACGUGUACACGUCUGGGCGUACAUAAAGCUUCCAACUGCAUAUGGAAUUCCCUUUCUCUUUCUAUAUAUCAUAUCGCUUCUCGGGCACUGCGAAGCCCUGAGCCUGUCUCCCUUCUGUACGGGUGCCAUACUUUGUUUGCAGUAUACCAGACCUCUAUAAUACUUUUUGGAUUGAGGCCUUCUGAGCGGAGAUAGUCCCGAGGAUACCUCUUUCCAUUUCUUUGUGAAUCUUCAAUGACAUAUGAUGCUCACCCAUAUCCUUCAUCUCGAAGUUCCUUAUGAGGCGUGCAACAGCCCCUGAUCACCGCUAGCAAGCAGUAUGUCGUUAACAUAUAGGACUAUAGAAGGAGAAACUCGCUCCCAUUGACCUUUCUUAGGUAUAUACACAGUUCUUUUUCCUUUGGUCAUUCUCACCUCAUUGAAUUGGAGAUACCACUGGCGGGAAGACUCGUCUGUAUUUCGACUUCCUUAACCAGCAUACUAACGCUGCCCUCCUGCGAGAAGCCAAAGGGUUGGUUGGUCUAUGUACACUUCUUCCAGUAUAUCCCCAUUGAGGAAAGCGGUCUUCACAUCCAUCUGGUGAAGUCGAGCCACCAACUGUAUGAUUAUCCUGAGUUAGUCCGUCCUUCUUAGAAACCGGAGAUAAGUUCCUCUCUUCGUAUUCUAUGUAGUCGUAGUCGAUGUCCUCUUUCAGAGUGAACCCCAUUCAUUAGGGAAGCCUUGCCUUGUAUCUCUCAAUCUUGCCUGAAGGAGCCAAGCCCCCUCCUGUCGAAAUGGUUUAAAUAGCGUAUGUGAACAGUCAAAACACCCUCUCUCUCAUCACAGCACGUCGAAAGAGGCGCAUCAGAAAGAGGAAAGGGCCAAGCAACAUAGUAAGACCAAGCCACUACUACAAAAACAUAGAAAGGAGCCAAGCAACACACCCGAUACUGAGUGAGGCUUCUGAUCCAGCCUUUCAUCCUUCCUUUUCUCAGGAACUUUACUUCUGGUCUAGCUCCCCAGAUCUUUACGACUUCACUCGCCACUCUGCUGAUGCGGAUUCUCGCCGAACCUAUAUCUACUUACUUAGAGCCCUGAACGAAACUCGUAUUCCACUCUAGCACCCCAAUCCUAUAUAGUGGACUUUUUGCUAACAACACUCUACCCCGAAACUAUCAAGUCAGAAUUUCUCAUAUAUAUCGAAAGUCAGAUUUGUUUGAAUUUAAGAGUCAAAGAGAAUGACCUAUUCCUCCAUCUAUGAAUUCACUAUUCUUCGCUAUUCGACAAAAACUAUACGCUAUUCCACUAUAUAUUACUUACCUAUUAUCUUCUUAUCAUCUUUCUUCUGUUUCUGAACAAGCAACUCGAGACUCGCUAACGGGAGUUUUCAGUGUUGCACUAACGACUAAGACAAGUAUUAAGUAAAAGGAGCGGGCUGGCUGUCAACCCAGAUUGAUAGUAAUAACACCUCUGUUCUACUCUGCUAACAUGAGCUCGAUAUGAGGAAGAAGACUAUUAUCAGCACUUAUGCUUUAGCCUUAUUAUAUAGAUUAUCAGCACUUAUGCUUUAGCCUUUAUUAUAUAGAAUAUACUCCAUUCCAACAGAUACAGAUGACACUCGGGAUUCAAGCACAACAGAGGAAUCUUCCCGUAUAGAGGAAUCUUACCUUAAUAUCUAUGCAAAGCUUCUUAUCUUGUCGACUUCCCACUUUCAGACUACAACCUUUCAUUGCUACACACAUGGGCUAGGAUAUAAUUCCCUUAAUAAGAAGAUAAAUGAGUAGAAGCAGCAGCACUUAACCGAGAUAUUACACUCGCACUGCAUCCCUUUCUUCUUCCCCAAGAACUCCACUUUCAUUGAUAACCUAUCCCAGGAAUUAGCCUUAGGGUGAUGGGACAUUCCCGAUCUUAACUCAAGAGAGUAACCGAACCCUGUAAAGUAAGCAAGAGAUUACAACUCUCCAGUUGAAGUUCACCGCCUACUAGGCUUAAUGAAUAAAGUAAUAGAGUCGCUUAAGGAAUAAAGUAAUAGAGUGGAGGCGGGUCAUAUUCCUACCUUAGAGAGAGUGGAGGGUUAACAAACAACGUAACCCGCAAGGGGACCCUUUAAGGAGGAAGCCCAAGAAAGGGAAGCCAAGCCGGUAAGGUCAGAUUACUAAGAUAUAUUCCUUCCAAUCAUGGGUUAUAUACUGGGCUAGGCGAGAAAGUCCAAUUUCCAUUCUCAGGCGUCAAUUCCAUUUCUUUCUGUGCGCAAGGGAGUUGUUUUGACUUUAAUCGGGCGGGAGUUUAGAGCUUAUUGAUUCCAUUCCUUUGCUACGAGAUAGGCGGGUGAGAAAGAGGAACAGUUUGACUCUUCAAGUGGUAUUCUACUUUCAUCGUUAAGAUCAUCUCCAUCUCUGCCCCUACAUUAUACUAAGAACGAAUGCCCACUCCGUCAGUGAAGUCAGCAGUAAGUGAAUCAGUAUCUACUCUAUGAGUGCUUGUUUAGUCUCCGAGAGAAUAAUCUGUUCAAGUUAGCAGUGCGGGUGCAGUUCCCGAAACCAGUCGGCGAAUAUCGAAUUUAGAAGUAGCGCAUAACACUUAGAGAAUCCAGUUGCAACACAGCAACAAGCAAUGGCGACGAAAGUGAAACGACGUAUAAGAGGUAUACUUAGGUCUCUGUAAGGGAGUUCGUAUAGUCCUUCCUCUCCUCGAUAUCUUCUAGCUUCAUACUUCAUACUUAUCUCUUAUCUUAGUGGUGCGAGUGUUGUCGUUUCGUACAGUUUUCCAGUUUGGUGGGUGCUUUUGUUGCGGUAAGUGAAUGGCCUGAUUGAUUUCCCUGUAAGGAGAAGCCUUUGCUUUGCUUGUUCAAAGCCACUCUCUAGGAAAACCUAUGGUGGUGCCACAGUGGGGCGAGUAGGACCAGUAAAGUAAUGAAAGAAUAGACAGAAUAUCCACGACACCUAAAGCGCUACACCAGACUGCGAAACUAACUCAGUUACUGCUUCCUUUCAGAACAAAUAUUGGCACCCCGGUGAGAGUAACCCUUAGCACAAGGACUAAAUGAGAUCAUUGGCGACGAGAUCAGGAUCAUCAAUCAGCAUAAGAUGGAAAGUAGACUCAAAAAGAUGUUGUUUCAACAGAAGAAGCGGAAGCCAGAUCAAAGGAAAGAGUAGAAUUAGGAUCAGUUGCCGGGUACGCAGCAAAGGUCUCUGUUUCAUGAUCCACUUCUUCAGCGCCCUUCACUAACACUGACUUAGAUUUGGGGCACACCUGUAUGUAUAUAAACUAUAGAUAAGCGUCGGACCUACUACUGAUCCAGCUCUCAUACUUAUAGAUCAAGCCAUUGUGCUAAGGGAUAUUAUAUAGUACUUUUGUCUAGCGUUCAGAUGCCGAUAUUCAAUGGUUAUGGUUAGGGAAAGUCAACAGUGAGUCAGGAGAAGAGUAACCAUCAGCAGCAUCCGCAGAGUUAGCAUCCACAAAGAAAUGAAUGUUUGAGUUUGAAGAGCUGAAUCCAGAUAAGGUAAAGGAGAAAGAUAAGAGGCGAGAGGAUAUCUUGGUGUUGGCGAGAAAGAUAAGAGGCGAGAAGAUAUCUUGGUGUUGGCGAGUUAGUUGCUCGCUGCAGGAAUUAGGAAAAAGAAUGAGUUGGCGCUGGAUAUGAGCCAAUCGGUUCCUCAUAGUAAAGUAUAGAAGCAAGAUAUUGAGAGGAUGCCGCCCUUUAUAGUAGUGACUAGUUGGGGUUCCGUUGAGGAAGCUGGAAGUCUGGUUUUGGGGGGUGCUUCUUCAUCCCUUGUUUUAUCUGUCGGUGCUUGGCUAGUAGUUGUCUUGGCGCUUGGCCCCUAACAAAUACCUAAU
rnacentral:lncRNA from 1 species